rnacentral:rRNA from 1 species
GAUGAACGCUGGCGGCGUGCCUAAUACAUGCAAGUCGAGCGAACGGACGAGAAGCUUGCUUUUCUGAUGUUAGCGGCGGACGGGUGAGUAACACGUGGAUAACCUACCUAUAAGACUGGGAUAACUUCGGGAAACCGGAGCUAAUACCGGAUAAUAUUUUGAACCGCAUGGUUCAAAAGUGAAAGACGGUCUUGCUGUCACUUAUAGAUGGAUCCGCGCUGCAUUAGCUAGUUGGUAAGGUAACGGCUUACCAAGGCAACGAUGCAUAGCUGACCUGAGAGGGUGAUCGGCCACACUGGAACUGAGACACGGUCCAGACUCCUACGGGAGGCAGCAGUAGGGAAUCUUCCGCAAAGGGCGAAAGCCUGACGGAGCAACGCCGCGUGAGUGAUGAAGGUCUUCGGAUCGUAAAACUCUGUUAUUAGGGAAGAACAUAUGUGUAAGUAACUGUGCACAUCUUGACGGUACCUAAUCAGAAAGCCACGGCUAACUACGUG